UUCAUAUUCUUUGUGAGGGACUCCUUCCGUACUUGCAGACACAGAAGAAGAGAUGGAGGAGAAGAUAGACAAAACAAGAACAAGGUGCACAAACACCAAGUUUGCCGUUGAUGCUGACGAGGGAACUAGCCUAUAGGCCUUGCGAGAAGUUAGAUAAAAAGCAAGUACCGGAUCUGAAGCAGCUGAAGUGCCGUAUAUGUUGCAAGUUUCAAAAUCCACUAAUGUCUUGAAAUGUGUGUUAAUUUAUUGAAAGUUAGUCAUUGUCUUAUUGUUAUGUUUAAGUGAACUGAAGUUAAAAUUUUAUAGUUAGCUCA